UACGUAGGGACCGAGCGUUGUCCGGAUUCAUUGGGCGUAAAGAGCUCGUAGGCGGCUGCUCAAGUCGAAUGUGAAAACUCGAGGCUCAACCUCGAGCCUGCAUUCGAUACUGGGCGGCUAGAGUCUGGUAGGGGGAUCUGGAAUUCCUGGUGUAGCGGUGGAAUGCGCAGAUAUCAGGAGGAACACCGGUGGCGAAGGCGGGAUCCUGGGCCAGUACUGACCCUGAGGAGCGAAAGCGUGGGGAGCAAACAGG
rnacentral:rRNA from 1 species